rnacentral:rRNA from 1 species
CGGGGUGAGUAACGCGUGGGUAACCUGCCUCAUACAGGGGGAUAACAGUUAGAAAUGACUGCUAAUACCGCAUAAGCGCACAGGACCGCAUGGUCUGGUGUGAAAAACUCCGGUGGUAUGAGAUGGACCCGCGUCUGAUUAGCUAGUUGGUGAGGUAACGGCCCACCAAGGCGACGAUCAGUAGCCGACCUGAGAGGGUGACCGGCCACAUUGGGACUGAGACACGGCCCAA